rnacentral:rRNA from 1 species
GACGAACGCUGGCGGCGUGCCUAACACAUGCAAGUCGAGCGGAGUCAGUAAGAGGAAGUUUUCGGAUGGAAUCUUAUUGAUUUAGCGGCGGACGGGUGAGUAACGCGUGAGCGACCAACCUUGCACAGGGGGAUAACGGACCGAAAGGUUCACUAAUACUGCAUGAGACCACGGUGUUGCAUGACAAAGAGGUCAAAGGAGCAAUCCGGUGCAAGACGGGCUCGCGUCCGAUUAGGUAGUUGGAGGGGUAACGGCCCACCAAGCCUAUGAUCGGUAGCCGACCUGAGAGGGUGAUCGGCCACAUUGGAACUGAGAUACGGUCCAAACUCCUACGGGAGGCAGCAGUGGGGAAUAUUGGGCAAUGGGGGAAACCCUGACCCAGCAACGCCGCGUGAAGGAAGAAGGUUUUCGGAUUGUAAACUUCUGUCCUUGGUGAAGAGAAGAAGACGGUAGCCAAGGAGGAAGCCCCGGCUAACUACGUGCCAGCAGCCGCAGUAAUAC